CCCCUGGAUGUCAUCUUUGAAAACUAUGAAUUUUCAAACGUUUCGUGCAAACGGUUGCCCUUAUCUGCAUUAGAAUAUUUUGUGUCCAAUUUCUCGUUUGCUUAUUGGUGGAUGAAAAGUAAAAAUAGCUUGCAACCUUAAGACCUGUAUGAAUGCCACUUUGUGUUGUCAAUCAGCCCGACAUUAUGUCUCGUGUGUAAGAACCUGAUUGGUGGAAAGAGGAUAAAGUAUCAUUACAAAGCUCAAGGGGGUCUGUCAUCCCUUCAGGCUGUUUUAAUCAUUUCUGUUUCACUUCCCUAUUGCCCCCUCAAGUUGUACCGUAGCGUUUGCCGAUCUGCAUCUCAGAUGGAUCCAAAGGACGAAGAAAAUAAUUUCGGCGCUUAUAUGAAACGAUGUUACAUAGGAUGUGCGUACACUCUAACGCAACAAACUGGCUUUGAACCCGACGAGCCACCGUCUCGAAAAGUUCAAAGGGAGAAAGCUGAAGAAACGAAAGCCAUGUAGGACCUCGAUGUGUCCCAAUG